UAAGAUAUCACAAUCCUAGCAAAAGUAUAUAUAUAUAUAUAUAUUCGGUGCUUUCAAUAUAUAUAUAUAUUAAAACGAGAUAUGGGGUUUGAAAAAAAAAUGCUUUGUUGGAAUGAUUGACCGAGGCUGGGAAUAAUUGACCGAGGCUGGGAUUAAUUGACCGAGUGGAUGAUGAUUCUGCAGAACCGAGUGGAUCCAACGCAAAGAGGAGAAUACGAAGCCAAGAACAGAGUGCCAAGAACCGAGGGACCUGCAGAACACGAAGCCAAGAACAGAGUGCCAAGAAACUGCAGAACACGAGAUAGAAGAGAGAAACCGAGAGGAGAGGGACCUGCAGAAAGACAACUCACAGAGUGCCGAAAGACACAGACCAGACCGAAACACAAUAAAAUUUCUGUAAGAAAACAAUUUCUGUAAGAUCACGCUACUAGACCGAAACACAAGAAAAUUUUAAGAAAGCUCUGAUACCAUGACAAUUUCUUGGUCCGAAUGCCUUGGCCUUGAGUUUUCUCUUUAUUAUAUAGACUAUACCACCGAAUACUAUACAUGGAAAGUCAGCUAUAUACAAUAAACGGUGCCUAACAUUCUUACGGUGCCUAACAUAUUCUUCCAUAAUUCAACUAAUACGGUGCCUAAUAUAUUCUUGUUGACAAAGACAACCUACACAGCCACUUGCUUUUCCAUUCCUCUCUCUGCCACAUAUUGAAGUUUUUCAACCACACCAAAUGCUAAACUCUUGGCCAAGAUAUUCGGUAACUGUUUAACUCUCUACCUCACUCUUUUAUGGACUGUUAUAUUCAUUUGGUUAGAUGAUGUUGUGUUUUGAGUGUAUAAGUAGAGGAAUAUCAUGGUUUGAACUUGUGAAAUCACGAGCAUGAUUUGUCAAGGGGCUUAUGAGUUUGAGAAAAUAUUUGUGAACGUAGAAACGAGAAAUUAGUUCAACCUACUACUUGAUGAGGUAGAAUAAAAUUCUGCUCUGUUUUCUGUCUAGGCAAUUCGGUUUGUAUUAGAGUUUCUACAUUUAGCUCUAUGAUUUCCUUUACCUGAAUCCCUUUUCAAUAGGUUUAAACCCUCCAUUUUAUACAUCAAACCAUUAGAAAUCAGUGUUUGUUUGUGAGCCACCUUCUCAAGCUUAAACCAACGUGAACAACCAUAGAUUAGACCAAACCGGUAAAAUCUGCAGCAGUGAACUAACAACCUAUUUCACCUCUUCCUUAACUACUCAACUCAAGCCUCGUGUAGCUAUUGAACUUGCCUCAUUCUAGACCACCUCAAGAGGUAGCACAACCACCAUAGAAGCCACCAAAAACGCAGGUAAGAUCCCUCUUUUAAUUCUGUCCAAAACUGUAGCAUAGCAGCAAACUCUUUCUGCAACGCGUUUCCUCCUCUAAAUUUAUGCAAUUGAUUCCUUCCUACUAGUUUCUGUUUGGUUGACUCUCUAGCUUGUUUAUCUCCAUUUGAUCACUUCUAAAUCCUUGCUUGUGUAAUUAGGAAUGUAUUAGAAAGAGGGAAGGUUUGAAAACAAGAAAAUACACAAGCUCUUCGCUGUCCUUCUAGUGCAGAAAAAAUUCAGCAACUUCAACCCUUGAUUCCUAUUAAGUUUCAGCACCUUAGUUUGCUUUUAUUUCAUCUCUUCAACUCAGUCUCAAUAUGUGACAUUAGGGCUACCAAAUGACCUUACAAUCUCAGACCAAAACCAGAUCUAUGUGGCUGAAACUAAGGGGAACAGCAACAGACACAACAACGGCAGAAAGUUGUAAGAGACAGAAGCAGCACUAAUAGUUUCUCAUUUUGUUUUCCCUCUCCUUCUCACAUGUUAUCUCUUCUUACUCCAAGGACCCCCCCUCAUCUAUACAAUAUAUUCUAGUCCAGUGGAUGAAAUACUCGAGCUCAAAAUGAAGCAAAACAGAAAACAAAAGCAUCCUAUCUGCAGCAGCAGUUUUCAUAUUUGAACCCCUCAUUGUUUACUCUAAUUUCUAAUGCUUUUACCUCUUACUUCCUCUUAACUCAAGCCUCCUCACCUCUAACUUCAUUUGGUUGAGUAGUAGAAAGUAUGGUGGAGGAAAUGAUAAUUUGGAGCAAGAAAACAUCUAUGUUAGUUGCUUUACAUGUGAGAAACUAACCCCUCUAUUCCAGUUUCUUUCUGUUUCGUAUAUAUGCCAUAUUUGAUAGCUUGUAUUUGUUUUCUAACAUAUACAUGGUUUAAUAGGAAUGCUUUUGGGAGAAAGAUUCAAGUAGGAUUAUAUAUCCAGGAAGUAGGAUUCUAGAGUGGUUCAAGUAUUGCAAGGAGACUACUUCAUAUAGUAAUUCUAUUGAAAUAGAAAUUGAUCAUAAUGCGUCCAUGUGUGGGCAUCAGAUCGUGGCAUUAGUUUUGUGUUCUGUUGUGGGACCACUUGAUAAAAUGGAAAAUAUUCCUAUCCCAAUAAACAGCCAGUGGACUAGAGAUUAUAUUAGUCUACAUCCAUCAAUGGACCCACAUCAUGUAUGGCUACAAUACAUAGCUGGAAAUUCUAUUGAUGAGAUGUUGUCAAAAAGUUACAGGAAGGGGAACAAUAUGAGGUUUACAUUUGGAAGUGAUUCAGACAGAGCAAUCUUCAAAAGUGCUGGGGUCCAUCUAAUAUACGGGAAUGACUAUUUGAUUGAUCUUAAUAUUCAACUUUCACAGAGAUACCGAGUUGAUGGUGAGCAUAACUUGGAACCCGAUUAGAACCCACAACAGAAGAAGCGGGGAUCUUUAACCAGCUCUAGCAGUAUGGAAUUCAAGGAUGCUAAUGAUGAUUUAACUAAUGAAGAUUUGGAUUUAGAACUUCGACUUGGGAAUUGAAGUUUGGAAAUGAAUCAAAGUUGCAGAAGGAAUCAAAGAAGGGAAAGAAUUGUAACCAUGACAAACUUCAAUGGUGAAGAGAUUGAAGGACAUGAUUGCAUCUGCUAGUCGUUUGUGGGGUUUUGUUUCUUCCAGUUCACUUCUCUGAGAUCUAGUGAGCAUUUCUUUUAAUUUUGGCUUUGGAUUGCUGGGGAAAAGUAAAGUUGUUGCUUUUAAUAACUAAAAUCUAGCUUUUUUGUUUGCUACUUUACUUGUUUUUCAGCAGUCUGGAUAGACCAAAAAGAUUCCUUUUGGUGUUGUAGGGGUUGCAGUUUUUCGGGAUCAAGAUUGGUUUUUUUCAAGUUUUGUGAUCGAAAAGUUUGGAUCACUUAUGGCGUAGGUUGUUUACACGUAAAGUUGUAGUUUACUUGGUUUUAGUUUAUAAAUAGGCAUGUUUAGAUUGGUUUUAUUGAUUUAUUUAUUUAGCUUAAUGUAUAGGUUGUUUUUAUUUUACUGAAUUUUGAUGCUUGGGAUAGUCAUUUUUAAGGACUCAAAGACUCUGUUUUUAGACCAAGACCAGAUCUGUAAAGGGAGAUUUAAGUGCCUUGAAAAUUAUGUUUUACAGACCUAAUGACCAUAAGAAGGGUAAGUUGAACAAGGUUAGAAUUGUUCAACUAUAAUAUAGGAUUCGUAAUCUACUAAUAUUCCUGGCCUUGAAAAUUAGAUAGUCAUUUUCCGCUAUAAUAUAGGAUUCGUAAUCAAGAGUGAGUAAAUGUAAAGGCAAUGUAUUUGAGUACUUGGUUGUAAACAUUAUUCUCUUG